UCGUGGCCUUACCGGAGUGCACUGAUGGUACCAACAACUGCAGUACCAACACAGUCUGUGUGGAGGAGUAUCUGUACUUCAGCUGUGUGUGUUCAGAUGGUUUUGUGUUCAACGGCACAGAUUGCGAAGCUGUGGAGUCCAACUACAUCUCCUUCAAGGUUGUAGACCUGGAUCCAACCAAGGACUAUGAGAACAAAACAUCAGCCGACUACUCAGAGCUGACAGCUCUACUGGAGGAACUAGUUAGGAACAUCACAGGCGACAUCCUGUCGGUUCAGUUGGUUGACGUCAGACUUCCAGACGCAGGGGUGAUCUUCCAAAUCAACACCACAGUAUCAGAUGUUGAUGCAGUCCGAGAAUCCAUUUUUAACGAGUCUGCAGACGACGCGCUCGGGCCAUUUACAGUAGACGGGAACGCUACAACCUUUGGAC